ACUAUGAUUAGAACUAUGGUGUUGAGCAUCUAUAACAAUCUUGCUAAGAUUUUCGGUUGCCAUAGUAAGCAAGUUUAUAUCUGGGUGUAGCAUAUACUUCCAUGUAUUAUGUGACUUGGCAUGGUUUGACUCUUGAGAUGUAUAUAAUUUUGGCCUAUGCAUGGUGAUAUUUCCUAAAGAAAAUCAAUAUUUUAUGGUAAAUUUGUUUAGCCCUAUCUAUAAGGGCUCUCAUAUUUUACUAAUAUAUAUAUGUGCUUAAGAAUUUUUGUAGCACAGGAUAAACAAAUUUGGGGAAUGAUUUGAACAAUUAUGGUAAAUACCAUAAUGUAAAACAGGGUUACCCACUAGUAAGUGGUAAUUCAGGUAUUUCGCUGAACUCUAUCAAUGAGAGGAGCAUGAUUGGGAUAUGUGAUAUUUUAUCACUUGGGCAUGAUUUACAUGAUCUUUGAUGAGAUUUGAAAUUUGAAUGAAUUCAUCGGUAUACGAAUAUGGGAAUCAAGUUGUGGCAAUGGAUUAUAUAAUCUAGUGUUCGAAUUCUCUUUGCAGCCCUGUCUCAAGGGGCUCUCAUAUUUUACUAAUAUUUUCGUUCAAGAGUUCUUACAGCACAUGAUAAACAGCUUUGGGAAAAAAUUUGAACAAGUAUGGUAAUCAUCAUAACACGAAAAGCUAAUCCACUUGUAAGUGGUAAUUCAGCAAGUCAAAGGAAAAACAGAGGGAUCAUGCUCCAGCAGAGCAGGGGGAUCAUGCUCCACCAGAACAGAGGGAAGCGCUCGUAAGCCGCGAAAGUUGGUUGUGCCAUCCGGGCCUUCCAUGCUCCGCGCAGAGGGAGGGAAGCGCUCGUAAGCCGCGAAAGUUGGUUGCGCCACUCGGGCCCUCCAUGCUCCGCGCAGAAAUCAUCGUGUAGUCGUAAGCCGCGAAAGUUGGUUGCGCCACCCGGGCCCUCCAUGCUCCGCGCAGAUAUCACCGUUUAGUCGUAAGCCGCGAAAGUUGGUUGCGCCACCCGGGCCCUCCAUGCUCCGCGCAGAAAUCAUCGUGUAGUCGUAAGUCGCGAAAGUUGGUUGCGCCACCCGGGCCCUCCAUGCUCCGCGCAGAUAUCACCGUUUAGCCGUAGCCCUCCAUGCUCCGUGCAAAUCUAACUUGGAACUACAAUUCCAAAGUCAAGGGGAAAAUGCUUAUUUUUGCUUUCUUACAGUAUUAAAACUCUUAUGUCUUCAUGAUUUGCAGGGAUUAAGGAAAACAGCACAACACUGACUUUAACAAUACUUCGUUGGUUGAAUACGAAGAAUACCCGGUUCAACCAGACUAGGGGGGAGUAGCUGAUGAGGACUGAAAUAUGCACCAGCGUUGUGCUAAACAAGGGAAUUACUGCAGCAGCGCAGCUCGACUCUCGGUUCGACUAGGGAGCGAAGCUCAUGUAAUAGGGGCUUGAGCCCAAUUAUUUAGGGCUAGUGGGCUAAUGGGCCAAAUAGGCUCAAGGCCCUUACUUUCUUCAUUUCCUAUAAAUAGUUCCUUUUAGCUCUCAUUAGAGGAUAGUCAUUAUUUCUUACUCGACAACUUGUAAACUGUAAAUCAUUCUCGAUUAUAGCCGUGGACGUAGGUCUUCUCGACCGAACCA